UACGGGGGGGGCAAGCGUUGUUCGGAAUUACUGGGCGUAAAGGGCUCGUAGGCGGCCAACUAAGUCAGACGUGAAAUCCCUCGGCUUAACCGGGGAACUGCGUCUGAUACUGGAUGGCUUGAGGUUGGGAGAGGGAUGCGGAAUUCCAGGUGUAGCGGUGAAAUGCGUAGAUAUUGGGAAGAACACCGGUGGCGAAGGCGGCUCUCUGGACCGAGACUGACGCUGAGGCGCGAAAGCGUGGGGAGCAAACAGG
rnacentral:rRNA from 1 species